rnacentral:rRNA from 1 species
UACGUAGGGACCAAGCGUUGUUCGGAUUUACUGGGCGUAAAGGGCGCGUAGGCGGCUUUGUAAGUCACUUGUGAAAUCUCCGGGCUUAACCCGGAACGGUCAGGUGAUACUGUUUUGCUAGAGUGCGGAAGGGGCAAUCGGAAUUCUUGGUGUAGCGGUGAAAUGCGUAGAUAUCAAGAGGAACACCUGAGGUGAAGACGGGUUGCUGGGCCGACACUGACGCUGACAGCGCGAAAGCCAGGGGAGCAAACGGG